GGGCCGGUAGCUCAACUGGUAGAGCAGCGGACUCUUAAUCCGCGGGUUGAGGGUUCGAGUCCCCCCCGGCCCC
rnacentral:tRNA from 1 species